GACGAACGCUGGCGGCGUGCUUAACACAUGCAAGUCGAACGGAAAGGCCCUGCUUUUGUGGGGUGCUCGAGUGGCGAACGGGUGAGUAACACGUGAGUAACCUGCCCUUGACUUUGGGAUAACUUCAGGAAACUGGGGCUAAUACCGGAUAGGAGCUCCUGCUGCAUGGUGGGGGUUGGAAAGUUUCGGCGGUUGGGGAUGGACUCGCGGCUUAUCAGCUUGUUGGUGGGGUAGUGGCUUACCAAGGCCUUGACGGGUAGCCGGCCUGAGAGGGUGACCGGCCACAUUAGGACUGAGAUACGGACCAGACUCCUACGGGAGGCAGCAGUGGGGAAUAUUGCACAAUGGGCGGAAGCCUGAUGCAGCAACGCCGCGUGCGGGAUGACGGCCUUCGGGUUGUAAACCGCUUUCGCCUGUGACGAAGCGUGAGUGACGGUAAUGGGUAAAGAAGCACCGGCUAACUACGUG
rnacentral:rRNA from 1 species